ACGGCGAGUGAAGCGGCAAGAGCUCAAAUUUGAAAGCUGGCCCCUUCGGGGUCCGCGUUGUAAUUUGCAGAGGAUGCUUCGGGAGCGGUCCCCAUCUAAGUGCCCUGGAACGGGCCGUCAUAGAGGGUGAGAAUCCCGUCUGGGAUGGGGUGCCCGCGCCCGUGUGAAGCUCCUUCGACGAGUCGAGUUGUUUGGGAAUGCAGCUCUAAAUGGGUGGUAAAUUUCAUCUAAAGCUAAAUACUGGCCGGAGACCGAUAGCGCACAAGUAGAGUGAUCGAAAGAUGAAAAGCACUUUGAAAAGAGAGUUAAACAGCACGUGAAAUUGUUGAAAGGGAAGCGCUUGCGACCAGACUCGCUCGCGGGGUUCAGCCGGCCUUCGGGCCGGUGUACUUCCCCGCGGGCGGGCCAGCGUCGGUUUGGGCGGCCGGUCAAAGGCCCUCGGAAUGUAACGCCCCCCGGGGCGUCUUAUAGCCGAGGGUGCCAUGCGGCCAGCCCGGACCGAGGAACGCGCUUCGGCUCGGACGCUGGCAUAAUGGUCGUAAGCGACCCG
rnacentral:rRNA from 1 species